AGGACUGCAGCUGGAAUGUCAUCGUAUAGUAUUGUACAUAUUAGUGAGGAGUGCGCGAUCACCAUUUUGCCACCCUGAGCCACGUGUGGUGCUCAUCACGAGAGGGGUUACAUUGAAAUGAUUCGUGAGAGGGCCAUCGGAUGGGUUUUAGUGGGUGAAGUUACGUAUACAAAUAUAUUAUAUUUCCAUGUCUUUCCUUUUUCAAACAUCGAGGAUGCGUUUUUAUGUUCGCGGAAUCGCAAGACUUGAGAGGGAUGUGAGAUCUCUUUGAGGGCUCAUCUCAGUCUUACUGCAAUAGUGUUUGAUCGUAUUUGAACAGUCUUCGAUUAUGCAAUUGAAAUCGGAAAAAUAUAGUGUAUAUCGAGUGUGGCGUUUGUAUUGUACCAAAUCGGUUUGUAUAUAAACCGGCAAUGAACAUGCAAGUUCUCGGGUGUUGCAAUGUCCAUGGGCGGUAGUCAUUUUCUAUCAGCUUUUCCGUGCAUCUGGAUUCUUUACUUGGGUGAUGUUAGAUAAAAACCAUUGCAGAUCGGUAUAUUUAUCUGAGGAAAUGAAUGUUUCAUGUUAAAUUAAGCGUCAAUAGCGCAAUGUUUUACGGGCUGCCUGUGUAAUAAAGUCGCAGGUUCGAUCCUGACCCCUUGAGCUAUUGUCGUCCCACAACACAAGCUUCAAGCGUAAUUGGAGGCAUAAAUAAUGGUAUUAGUAAUUACCUUAAAAAACGGGUGUUGCUAUUUUUUAUCAAACAACUUUCGUAAUGAUAAAUAUAAUAAAAAGUAAGAUAACGUAUAAGUUAAGUUUUUAAUUUUGGUAUAAUAAUUAUCAUUUUUGAAGUCAUUGACGCUUUACUAUUGUUUAAAAUUUUACUGAAGGUUGGUUUUAUAUAUAUAAUAGAUAAACAUUGGCAGUAUAAUAAAUAUAAACUGUCAUACCGUACCCUACCCUACUUCAUGACAAAUAUAAAUAUUUAUUUAUUUUUGGUUUUUGUAAUCAAAAACAAAAAUAUGGCAGGCAGGAUUGAUGAUUGAGAGCCUAUAUAAGCGUAUCAUUACUAAAUCAGUCUAGACAUGACAAUCAAUGCUAAGCCCUAGAUGACUUUUUGCGGCACAAAAAGAAAUAACAUUUCAUUAAUAUUGUACGGAGGUAAUGACUGAAGCGAACAGAAGCACCUGAGCUCGAUCCGGACACGUGUGCGCAGGUGUGCGGGCACCGCCUGACACGUGCUCAUAUAGCUUACCGGCCUCUGUCUCUUGUGUCUCACAGCAAAGUUUGGGAUUAAACUUAUAAAUGUAUCUUAUUAAAUGUCAAAGAUAUUAUUUUACGGAGUCGAGAUUGUUCCACUAAAAUGCGUAAAUGUUAACCGUGUAAAUGAUUGCGGACCCAAAACCAAGUACUACUGAAUUUUCGUGUUUAAUUUGUGUUUAUAAUUCAUCUCGUGAAACCUUCAUGAGUCUGAUUUCACAUGUCUGUCACAUGUGUAUCCACCAAUUCGCAUGGAAACAGAGUGGUGUAUUGAGCUCAGAAAUCUUCUCCACAAAAAGAGAGGAGGCUUAUAUUAAAAGAAAAGAUAAAAUAUUCAUACCAGUCAGAUGAUGACGUUGCUCCAAUCAAUUCCCGUCAUGGCGAUCCUCAAUGUAGAGUAGCCAAUAUUGCUCGAGGGUUUACGCAAAAAUUCUUGGAUUUGGAUUGGAAUUGGACAAGAAACUAAUUACAUACAAUUAAAAUCAACGCAUAUAACACAUAACCUCGAGCUUUUUCAUCAUUAAUUGGACCGCCAUGUCUCUGGUUGUAUUAUAUAUAAAAGUAUGUAUUAUGUACUUAUACAUAAUUUCAAUAUUCUAUUAUGUAUGUUAAUAUCUAUAUCAGUUGGCAGUUACCUAUAACAUAGGCAAAAGUUGCCUAUUGGGAAAUUUUAGUUCUUAGGUGGAAUUUAGAAGAGAUAGUUGAAGAACUGCUCAUCAAUAUAUGUUGUUAUGUAUUAAAAUCGCUUGGAGAUGGUAACAAUAGCCAACCAGAUCUCACGUCAGUCUAUUUUAGCACGUGCCUCGUUACGAAUGUCUCGUAAUUAUUCAAGUGUUACAAAGCUAUUGUGAAUUUAUGACACGCAAAACCACCUGUACAAACCGUAACGCGUUCACUUGUUCCAACAAUUCGCUACGCACAGAACAGAUGUCAAAAUAAACGCGGAGACAAAUGGGGUGACUGUUCAUGGUGAUAAUAGCAACGCAACGCAACGCGAUAGCGUUAUACUUCGCGUGCUCUACUUGGGGUACAGCCUGAGGUAUGGCUUGCUCAGAUUGUCGGGGCAACACGGUAGCGUGCGAAGCAAUCUUGUGGCGACUCCCAGUUGAGUGGGUACCGCUGAUUUUUUUGUGGGUUUUCUGGUUCGCUCAGCGCCAGAGCGCCUCAAAUAUCUCUCUCUCCAUUUGGAGUAAAUUCGUAAAAGCGUUUUUCCAGCAACAAAAAAAAAAGAUUUGCACGGAUUCAUUUAUUCUACCGCCAAGAAUUGUCUUAGUAUUGUUGUGUACCGGUUUUAAGGGUUAGUGAACCGAUGUAACUAUAGGCAAAAGGGACAUAAAAACUUAGUUCCCAAGGUUGGUAUCGCAUUGGCGAUGUAAAGAACGGUUAAUAUUUCUUACAGCGCUAAUUUUCACAGGUAAGGCGGCCCGCUUGCCAUUCUACCUACCUAAUACAUUAAAGAAAAGUUUGCUUCCUGUCUUCUUAUUAAAAAAAGAAAUUUCAGUUUUUAAUGUAGUACCUUUAUAAAUUUAUUAAUAUUAUUUGAUUGGUAUUAUGUGAUAGCCUGUAAUCUUAACUGAUGAUCGUGGGUUCAAGCACGGGCAAGCACCAAUGAAAUUUCAUGUGCUUAAUUUGUGAUUAUAAUUCAUCUCGUGCUUGACGGUGAAGGAAAACAUCGUGAGAAAACCUGCAUGUGUCUAAUUUCAUUGAAAUUCUGCUACAUGCGUAUUCCGCCAAGCCGCAUUGGAGCAGCGUGGUGGAAUAAGCUCCAAAACCUUCUCCUCAAAAAGGGAGAGGAGGCCUUAGCCUAGCAGUGAGACAUUUACAGGCUGUUACUAAUAGAAUAUUAUUUAAAGUAGAAUUCAAUACUGGUUUUAUAGUGGUAUACGUAAGUGACCGUUUAUAUACCACUAUAGCUUCACUGUUAUAGUGACGAGUUUAUCUCCCCCUCUUCAGCGUGGUUUAGGGACCGUGACCACUUGCCAUCAGGUGGCACACUAGCCAGUCUGCCUACCGUAUAAUGUAAAAGCGAUAUAUAGCUGACCCGGUGAAGGGUUAGCAUUAUAUAAGAAGUUUUUAGAAAUAACUAAUAUCCGUUCCAUAGCAAUUGUUUGUUUUAAAUAUUCCUCACAGCAAGCAAAGAGUCGUUAGGCACAGGAUUCUAUUUUCAUGUGUAUUACAAUUGCAUGUGGUCACAGGUUCGAUUAUCUAAACGCAUUGAUAGUCCGUGGAAAGCUUAUUAGUUACCUUUAAUUAUAGGCAUUUAAUCAGUCCAAAUGUGUAUGGUUUUAUAUCUAUUUUCUAUACCUGUCACUGUGUGUGCAUAAUUUCAUGACGAUCAGUUGAGUAGUUUAGAAGUAAAAGGGUAACAAACAAACUUACAUUCUCAUAUAACAUUAGUUAGGAUUAAAGUAGUUUAUUAUUAAUAUAAUAAUUAAAUGAAUCCCAUGUGAUACUAAUUACGGGUUAUUAAUUAAUUAUGUUAAAAUUACUUCUAUUGUGUAACGACUCUUAGAUGAACAAAAACCUUUCAAUUGAAUCAAAUAUUAAUUUUAUUUAUGGCAUUAUAAUCUAAGAUUACUGUAAACGAGCAUAACUUAAAAAAAAGUAUGAAUAGUGUAUAAUCUGUGGUUGGUUGUAACUUCAAACGGCAAACACGAAUUAAUUAUGAAUACAAAUUAAGUACACAUCUUGCCUGGAGUUGAAUUCGUGAUCGCUUAAAAUACGCAUUUUAUAUAAGCUAUGUUUUUUAACAAAAAAAAUAUAUUAUAAUAUUUAAUUCUUCGUUUGCCUUUAUACAUG